rnacentral:rRNA from 1 species
UACGGGGGGGGCUAGCGUUGUCCGGAAUUAUUGGUGCGUAAAAGAGCUCGUAGGCGGUCUGUCGGCGUCUGCUGUGAAAACUCAGGGCUUAACCCUGAGCUUGCAGUGGGUACGGGCAGACGUAGAGUGCGGUAGGGGAGACUGGAAGUUCCGUAGGUGGUAGACGGUGGAAUGCGCAGAGUAUCGAGGAGGAACACCGGUGGCGAAGGCGGGUCUCUGGG